AGCAGUGGAAUGGAGUCAACCAGAGUGCAUAGUUAGAGAUGUGACCCAAGCCAUUUGGAGGAGACCAGAAACUGGAACAAGAAGCUGUAAUGUUGAAGUUGUCUUGGAGACCCCAAGAUGUUCGAGGUGCCAGGGCUGUGGUAUACCUGCUGAGGAAAGCUGCUAACAGCAAGUGGAACCAUCCAAAGAGAACUGUGCUGCAGUCAACAAAGCAGAAAGGAGUUGGACAUUAGACACGGAGGUGAUGAGUUUGGAGUUUGUCCAGCUGAAUUUUGGUCUUGCUUUGGUCUAUUAUUUCCUCAUAUGAAGUUUUGAAAUGGUAAUGUAUAUCAUGUGAUGUUGGAGCUUGGACCCCCAAGUGGAGCAUGCCUCCAUUGUUUGUGAGUUCUGUCUCAGCUCAGAGUGGAUGGGCGCACAGUUCCAGGGGAGCAAGGAUGUGUGCAACAGAAACUAGUGUUAGCCACACUUGUUCAUCUAGGUGGAUCAUCUCCAGAGACUGAAGAUAUCAGCAGGGCCUAGGAUAUCUGGGCGGCUCCUUCUCCUUCUGCUCCCAGCCCCAAAUCUAACCCUUCAAUAAGGU
rnacentral:lncRNA from 1 species